CGUGGGUAACCUGCCCAAGAGAUCGGGAUAACACCUGGAAACAGAUGCUAAUACCGGAUAACAACAGAUGAUGCCUAUCAACUGUUUAAAAGAUUGUUCUGCUAUCACUCUUGGAUGGACCUGCGGUGCAUUAGCUAGUUGGUAGGGUAACGGCCUACCAAGGCGAUGAUGCAUAGCCGAGUUGAGAGACUGAUCGGCCACAUUGGGACUGAGACACGGCCCAAACUCCUACGGGAGGCAGCAGCC
rnacentral:rRNA from 1 species